rnacentral:lncRNA from 1 species
UCCAAGCCCAACUUCCCCAGCUAGGGCGUGUGAUGUGGGGGUGGGGGUGUCUUGUAAACUGGAGCUUCCACCAUUGCAGUAGGCGGAGUGGAGGCCCAGGCUUCAAGACCAAGCAGCAGCUCCUGGGCCAAGCCUCAUCUUGCCCAGUGUGGCCUGUCAAGAUGACGGCCUGGAAGAGAAGCCAGACUGGGCAGCCAGGCCUCUGCCCCUCCCCUUGCCUGGUGGCACAGCCAGCACUGGCUCACUGGGAAAGCUCACAACUCCUCACAGCGAUCUGGUAUCUUGAGCGUCAGUUUCUGGCCGAAACUGGGGGCUCCUGACUGAACUCCCUCCCACCUAGAAAACCUUCUGUGCAGUCUGAUUGCUCCAACACCCACAGAGCAGGAUUCAGGUAUCCCGGAGACCUUGGGAGGUCCCCAUCCAGAGGUCUGCUGUCCUGCCAGGCUUGGGGCAGCAGGGACUGGGACCCCACUCAGACCUCUCUGGGGCAAAUGUUUUGGUUCUCACAACAGCCCUAGUGAAAUCAAUCCUAGAUAC